rnacentral:tRNA from 1 species
GCCUGGGUGGCUCAGUUGGUUAAGUGUCUGACUUCGGCUCAGAUCAUGAUCUCAUGGUUUGUGAGUUUGAGCCUUGCAUCAGGCU